AACGAACGCUGGCGGCGUGCUUAACACAUGCAAGUCGAACGCGAACGAGUUCUUCGGAACUUUAGUAGAGUGGCGCACGGGUGAGUAACGCGUAAGUAAUCUACCCUGAUAUCUGGGAUAACAAUUCGAAAGGAUUGCUAAUACCGGAUACGCUGAUUUAUCAGGAAAGGUGGCCUCUGUUUCAUGCUACCGUAUCAGGAGGAGCUUGCGUACCAUUAGCUAGUUGGUGGGGUAAUGGCCUACCAAGGCGACGAUGGUUAGCGGGUCUGAGAGGAUGAUCCGCCACACUGGAACUGAAACACGGACCAG
rnacentral:rRNA from 1 species